AGGACGAACGCUGGCGGCGUGCUUAACACAUGCAAGUCGAGCGGAAAGGCCCUUCGGGGUACUCGAGCGGCGAACGGGUGAGUAACACGUGAGUAAUCUGCCCUUAGCUCUGGGAUAGCUCCGGGAAAACCGGGAUUAAUACCAGAUACAACCACUUUAGACAUCUGUUGUGGUGGAAAGAAUUUUGGCUAAGGAUGAGCUCGCGGCCUAUCAGCUUGUUGGUGGGGUAAUGGCCUACCAAGGCGACGACGGGUAGCCGGGCCUGAGAGGGCGACCGGCCACACUGGGACUGAGACACGGCCCCAGACUCCUACGGGAGGCAGCAGUGGGGAAUAUUGCGCAAUGGGCGAAAGCCUGACGCAGCGACGCCGCGUGGGGGAUGAAGGCCUUCGGGUUGUAAACCCCUUUCAGCAGGGACGAAGCGAAAGUGACGGUACCUGCAGAAGAAGCGCCGGCUAACUACGUGCCAGCAGCCGC
rnacentral:rRNA from 1 species